rnacentral:rRNA from 1 species
UGAGGAAUAUUGCACAAUGGGCGCAAGCCUGAUGCAGCAACGCCGCGUGCGGGACGAAGGCCUUCGGGUCGUAAACCGCUUUUCUGGGGGAAGAGCAAGGACGGUACCUCAGGAAUAAGUCUCGGCUAACUACGUGCCAGCAGCCGCGGUAAAACGUAGGAGGCGAGCGUUAUCCGGAUUUACUGGGCGUAAAGCGCACGCAGGCGGCUCUGUUAGUCGGACGUGAAAGCUCUCGGCUUAACCGGGAGAGGCCGUUCGAUACUGCGGGACUUGAGGUAGGGAGAGGAAUGCGGAAUUCCCGGUGUAGUGGUGGAAUGCGUAGAUAUCGGGAGGAACACCUGUGGCGAAAGCGGCAUUCUGGCCCUCACCUGACGCUGAGGUGCGAAAGCGUGGGUAGCAAACA